CUGCAAAUCUUCUCUCUGUUCUGAUUUGGUAAUAAUAAGGGAAAGCUAAACAUUCACUACGAUAACACCACAUCUAUGUCCCUAGUUCUAGUUCUUCUACUGAUUUAGGUCUGGUCUUAUAAGUACUGAUGAUCAAA